rnacentral:rRNA from 1 species
AUUGAACGCUGGCGGCAGGCCUAACACAUGCAAGUCGAACGGUAACAGGAAGCAGCUUGCUGCUUCGCUGACGAGUGGCGGACGGGUGAGUAAUGUCUGGGAAACUGCCUGAUGGAGGGGGAUAACUACUGGAAACGGUAGCUAAUACCGCAUAACGUCGCAAGACCAAAGAGGGGGACCUUGGGGCCUCUUGCCAUCGGAUGUGCCCAGAUGGGAUUAGCUAGUAGGUGGGGUAACGGCUCACCUUGGCGACGAUCCCUAGCUGGUCUGAGAGGAUGACCAGCCACACUGGAACUGAGACACGGUCCAGACUCCUACGGGAGGCAGCAGUGGGGAAUAUUGCACAAUGGGCGCAAGCCUGAUGCAGUCAUGCCGCGUGUAUGAAGAAGGCCUUCGGGUUGUAAAGUACUUUCAGCGGGGAGGAAGGGAGUAAAGUUAAUACCUUUGCUCAUUGACGUUACCCGCAGAAGAAGCACCGGCUAACUCCGUG